UUGAACGCUGGCGGUAACUUUUAAACAUGCAAGUCGAGCGGUAACAGACAUAAAGAUUCAGCUUGCUGAAUCCGGUGCUGACGAGCGGCGAACGGGUGAGUAACGCGUAGGAAUCUACCCAGUAGCGGGGGAUAGCCCGAGGAAACUCGGAUUAAUACCGCAUACGCCCUGAGGGGGAAAGGGGGCAGUUUACUGCUCUCACUAUUGGAUGAGCCUGCGUAAGAUUAGCUUGUUGGUAGGGUAAUGGCCUACCAAGGCGACGAUCUUUAGCUGGUCUGAGAGGACGAUCAGCCACAUUGGGACUGAGACACGGCCCAGACAUCUACGGAUGGCAGCAGUUAAGAAUAUUGGACAAUGGGGGCAACCCUGAUCCAGGUAUACCGCGUGUGUGAAGAAGGCCCUAGGGUUGUAAAGCACUUUAAUCAGAGAAGAAGCAUUUUAAGUUAAUACCUUAUUAUGUUGACGUUACCUGAAGAAUAAG
rnacentral:rRNA from 1 species